GGUAAUGCAAAGCAUUAUCUUUUGCCUAGAGCAAAUAUCUAAGCGAAUAAGUGGUGGGCAAUACCUGUGCCAGCCGCCGCGGUAACCCAGGAGCCACAAGUGGCAACCACCUUUAUUGGGCCUAAAGCGUCCGUAGCCGGUUUUGUAAAUUUUCUGUGAAAUAGUUGCGCUUAACGUAACUGCGUGCAGAAAAGACUGCAAGACUAGGGACCGGGAGGAGUUGGAGGUAUUCUGGGGGGAGCGGUAAAAUGCUAUAAUCCUCGGAGGACCACCUGUGGCGAAGGCGUCCAACUAGAACGGAUUCGACGGUGAGGGACGAAAGCUAGGGGAGCAAUCCGGAUUAGAUACAACCUUUUGCAAAAAGCAUUGAGGAAAAUCAUGCAAUGUGGAAUUUUACAAUUCCACGUAACGACGGAUAUUGAGAUUGCAAAUAUUCUACUGCAAUAUUCGUUAAUGAUGGCAAAAGUGUUGCUAAUUACCCGAGUAGUCCUAGCUGUAAACUCUGCGGGCUAGGUGUUGCGCAAUCUUCGGGAUUGCGUGGUGUCGUAGCGAAGGUGAUAAGCCCGCCGCCUGGGGAGUACGGUCGCAAGGCUGAAACUUAAAGGAAUUGGCGGGGGAGCACUACAAGGGGUGCGGCGUGCGGUUUAAUCCAAUUCAACACGGAGAAUCUCACCAGGAGCGACGGCAGGAUGAAGGUCAGGUUAAAGGUCUUACCUAACGAGCCGAGAGGUAGUGCAUGGCCGUCGUCAGCUCGUGCCGUAAGGUGUCCUGUUAAGUCAGGCAACGAGCGAGACCUGCGCGCACAAUUGCUAACGGGUUAGUAAUAAUGACUGAGCACAUUGUGCGGACUGCUCCAGAAAUGGAGAGGAAGGUGCAGGCAACGGUAGGUCUGUAUGCUCCGAAUCUUCUGGGCUACACGCGCGCAACAAUGGCAGGUACAAUGGGAUGCAACACCGAAAGGUGGAGCUAAUCCUCGAAAACCUGUCCUAGUCCAGAUUGGGGGGUUGUAACUCACCCACAUGACGUUGGAAUCCCUAGUAAUCCAGGUUUUAUCAGAACCCGG
rnacentral:rRNA from 1 species